AGUUUGCAGGAGAAUCGAGUUCUUCUGCUGAACCUGACAGAGCUGACUCAAUAGCUUCUUUAGAGGCAGACAUGAACACCUCUGCGUUUCAGUGCUCUGUAUUUAUUAGUGUGAUGAUGGUCGUGGUGGUGUAUUCAGCGUCAGUGCACAACUGUCCAUUAAACAAAAAACAGUGUGUGCUUUAUCUGCGCCACAUUAAGAAUGCAACUGAAGAUCUGUUAAAAGAGAACCUACACGGAAGGGUGCCAAGGGUUUAUAAAGAUACAUGUGCGGACAAAUUCUUCUGUUUGGCGGAGAAGGCUCUUUCUAACAUUACUGAGGCAAUGAAUCACCCUCAACACGGCAAGUUUGAAAAGCUACGGAGGGCCCUGCAUCAAUACAACAACAUGACAAACGACACCCACUGCACACUGGAAUGCAAGAGUAGAUAUCAACUACAUGAAUUUCUUAAGAAUGUGAGCAAGUGCACAGACCGUGUCCUACAUCCUCCCAAGUAUAUAAGAUGAAGGGACCCCAUGAAGUAUUAUGCUCCUUGUCUAAGUUAUUUAUAAUAAUGUAAUAUUUAUUUUUUUAUAUUUAUUUUGCGUUUCUAUUGUAGAUGAAAUGCCUUUAAAAAAAUAAAUUGAAAUGUGACAAUGAAGGUGUUAUGCAAGCUUUUUUUUAAAUCUUCAGAUCAACCCACAGUAGGAUCUUUAAAUUAACAGGUAUAAUUUCGUAGGGAAGCUGGAUGCAAUGCAUUGCUUCGUGACAUCACUACACAACGAGAACCUGAGAUCAGACAUGAAUAAUUUAUUAAAUAAAAUCCAGAUGUUUGUUGGUGUAAACAUUUGACAUACACUAUAACAACAACAAAAAAAGCUAGCUUACAUCCACUAAAAACCAAAACAU